AUUGAACGCUGGCGGCAUGCUUUACACAUGCAAGUCGAACGGUAACAGGCCUUCGGGUGCUGACGAGUGGCGAACGGGUGAGUAAUGCAUCGGAACGUACCCAGAGGUGGGGAUAACGCAGCGAAAGCUGUGCUAAUACCGCAUGUGAUCUGAGGAUGAAAGCGGGGGACCGAGCAGCAAUGUUUGGCCUCGCGCCUUUGGAGCGGCCGAUGUCGGAUUAGCUAGUUGGUGGGGUAAAGGCCUACCAAGGCGACGAUCCGUAGCUGGUCUGAGAGGACGACCAGCCACACUGGGACUGAGCCACGGCCCAGACUCCUACGGGAGGCAGCAGUGGGGAAUUGUGGACAAUGGGCGCAAGCCUGAUCCAGCAAUGCCGCGUGCGGGAAGAAGGCCUUCGGGUUGUAAACCGCUUUUGGCAGGAACGAAACGGUGUCCGCUAAUACCGGGCGCUAAUGACGGUACCUGCAGAAUAAGCACCGGCUAACUACGUG
rnacentral:rRNA from 1 species